GACGAACGCUGGCGGCGUGCUUAACACAUGCAAGUCGAACGAUGAAGCUGGAGCUUGCUCCGGUGGAUUAGUGGCGAACGGGUGAGUAGCACGUGAGCAAUCUGCCCUUGACUCUGGGAUAACUGCGGGGAACUGUAGCUAAUACCGGAUAUGAGAUCUGAAGGCAUCUUCGGGUUUGGAAAGAAUUUCGGUCAAGGAUGAGCUCGCGGCCUAUCAGCUAGUUGGUGAGGUAAUGGCUCACCAAGGCGACGACGGGUAGCCGGCCUGAGAGGGUGACCGGCCACACUGGAACUGAGACACGGUCCAGACUCCUACGGGAGGCAGCAGUGGGGAAUAUUGCACAAUGGGCGAAAGCCUGAUGCAGCAACGCCGCGUGAGGGAUGAAGGCCUUCGGGUUGUAAACCUCUUUUAGCAGGGAAGAAGCGAAAGUGACGGUACCUGCAGAAAAAGCACCGGCUAACUACGUGCCAGCCGCCGCCGUAA
rnacentral:rRNA from 1 species